rnacentral:rRNA from 1 species
UACGGAGGGUGCAAGCGUUAUCCGGAUUUACUGGGUUUAAAGGGUGUGUAGGCGGGCUUUUAAGUCAGUGGUGAAAUCUCCGGGCUCAACCUGGAAACUGCCAUUGAUACUAUUAGUCUUGAAUUUUGUUGAGGUAGGCGGAAUAAGUCAUGUAGCGGUGAAAUGCAUAGAUAUGACUUAGAACACCAAUUGCGAAGGCAGCUUGCUAAACAAAUAUUGAUGCUGAGGCACGAAAGCGUGGGGAUCAAACAGG